GACGUAGGUGGCGAACGUUAUCCGGAAUCAUUGGGCGUAAAGGGUGCGUAGAUGGCAUAGUAAGUUAUUGGUGGAAAAUCGAGGCUCAACCUCGUGGAAGCUGGUAAUACUGCUAUGCUAAGAGUUCAGGAGAGGUUAACGGAACUCCAUGUGGGGCGGUAAAAUGUGUAGAUAUCCGGAAGAACACCAGUGGCGAAGGCGACUUACUGGACACAUAUUGACGCUGAGGUGCGAAAGCGUGGGGAUCAAACAGG
rnacentral:rRNA from 1 species